AAUAAUAAUAAUAACCCUCCUUACCCUCUAUGACACUUCGAUAUACAAAUAUGGUGGCAAUCAGUGUUAUAAAAUUAACAAAUGUUUAAAUCUUUUACUGGUUCAUCAUCAUCUUCAAUAUCCCAACUUAAAUCCUCCUCUUCUUCUGCAGCACUCAACCCCUUUCGCAUAUCAAUCUUGUUUGGACUUCCACUGUGACUCACUUUCUUCUCAUCAAUGCUGCUCAGAUCCUCAAUCUCAUCCCACCCAAGAUCUUCCUCCUCUGGCAUUGAUGGGUGGCUGGAUAUAACAGAAACAUCACUAUCUUUAGAAGAUUCUCCGUUAUCACCCUUCCCUUCUGAUCCCGCUUUCUCGUCAGAUAUUGAUAGUGUCUCUUCUUUACUCUUCUUCUCCAAAUCCAAUUUAUCACCGGCUACAUUGUCACCACCACUCAAUAUCUUCUCUUCCUUUGAUUCCACGACAGAGAUUUCCUCCUUCACAUUCAUAGUUUGCUCAGUCUGUCCAAUGCUCGCCUUAUUAAUUUCAUCUCCCUUCACAAUUUGCUCUGAUUGUUUAUCAUGCAUGUCCUUCUCCUCAUCUUCGGUAAUUUUUGCAGAAUCUUUGCUACCCAAAUGGCCAUUUUGCUUGAAAUUGGCCUUCGAAGCGGAAUUCCUCUCAUCUUCCUUCUUCACGUUCUCUUCAUCAUCAUCAAAUUCCCAACUCAAGUCGUCCUCUUCGGUCGAAAUUGCUCGCUUCACAAGAUUAGCUCUCACGUCUUCAGCUUGCUUGAGCUUAUAUAGCUUAAAGUAGUAUCUACACCAAAAUGUCUCCUCAUCAACACUAUUGGGCACAACCUUUUUGUAUAUACUCUCCGCAGCACCAUUCUCCGCAAGCAAGUUUUCAAUCUCCUCUCUCUUCUCCUCCAAAACAAAAAUUUCCAUUUCUUGUAAUCCUCCAAAUCCUGUGUCUCCUCACAGUACGUGCUUGCAUCACCUUGAAUCGCCCGUACCUGAGCAUCAAA
rnacentral:misc_RNA from 1 species